AGUGAACGCUGGCGGCAGGCUUAACACACGCAAGUCGAACGCCCCGCAAGGGGAGUGGCAGACGGGUGAGUAACGCGUGGGAAUAUCCCCUUUGGUUCAGGAUAGCCCCGGGAAACUGGGAUUAAUACUGGAUAAGAUCUACGGAUGAAAGAUUUAUCGCCGAAGGAUUAGCCCGCGUAAGAUUAGCUAGUUGGUGAGGUAAUGGCUCACCAAGGCUACGAGCUUUAGCUGGUCUGAGAGGAUGAUCAGCCACACUGGAACUGAGACACGGUCCAGACUCCUACGGGAGGCAGCAGUGAGGAAUAUUGGACAAUGGGCGCAAGCCUGAUCCAGCCAUGCCGCGUGAGUGAUGAAGGCCCUAGGGUUGUAAAACUCUUUUAGUUGGGAAAAUAAUGAUGGUACCAACAGAAAAAGCUCCGGCUAACUUCGUGCCAGCCGCCGCGGUAA
rnacentral:rRNA from 1 species